ACGCUGGCGGCAGGCCUAACACAUGCAAGUCGAGCGGCAGCGACAACAUUGAACCUUCGGGGGAUUUGUUGGGCGGCGAGCGGCGGACGGGUGAGUAAUGCCUGGGAAAUUGCCCUGAUGUGGGGGAUAACCAUUGGAAACGAUGGCUAAUACCGCAUGAUAGCUUCGGCUCAAAGAGGGGGACCUUCGGGCCUCUCGCGUCAGGAUAUGCCCAGGUGGGAUUAGCUAGUUGGUGAGGUAAGGGCUCACCAAGGCGACGAUCCCUAGCUGGUCUGAGAGGAUGAUCAGCCACACUGGAACUGAGACACGGUCCAGACUCCUACGGGAGGCAGCAGUGGGGAAUAUUGCACAAUGGGCGCAAGCCUGAUGCAGCCAUGCCGCGUGUAUGAAGAAGGCCUUCGGGUUGUAAAGUACUUUCAGCAGUGAGGAAGGGGRUAUCGUUAAUAGCGGUAYUCUUUGACGUUAGCUGCAGAAGAAGCACCGGCUAACUCCGUGCCAGCAGCCGCGGUAAUACGGAGGGUGCGAGCGUUAAUCGGAAUUACUGGGCGUAAAGCGCAUGCAGGUGGUUUGUUAAGUCAGAUGUGAAAGCCCGGGGCUCAACCUCGGAAUUGCAUUUGAAACUGGCAGGCUAGAGUACUGUAGAGGGGGGUAGAAUUUCAGGUGUAGCGGUGAAAUGCGUAGAGAUCUGAAGGAAUACCGGUGGCGAAGGCGGCCCCCUGGACA
rnacentral:rRNA from 1 species